rnacentral:rRNA from 1 species
UACGUAGGGUGCAAGCGUUAUCCGGAAUUAUUGGGCGUAAAGAGCUCGUAGGCGGUUUGUCGCGUCUGCUGUGAAAACUGGGGCUCAACCCCCAGCCUGCAGUGGGUACGGGCAAACUAGAGUGCGGUAGGGGAGAUUGGAAUUCCUGGUGUAGCGGUGAAAUGCGCAGAUAUCAGGAGGAACACCGAUGGCGAAGGCAGGUCUCUGGGCAUUAACUGACGCUGAGGAGCGAAAGCAUGGGGAGCGAACAGG